rnacentral:lncRNA from 1 species
AUGAUAAUGUGGAUCAGCUAUAUGUAUAGAAAUUCCUGUUGCUCCAUAGCCUCGUCAGCAUCUGAUGUUGUCAGUGUUCUGAAUGUUGGCCAUUCCAAUAGAUAUGUAGUGAUAUCUCCUUGUUUUGAUUUGCAUUUCCCUAAUGUCACAUGCUUUAUUGACUAUGCCAAAGCCUUUGACUGUGUGGAUCACAAUAAACUGUGGAAAAUUCUGAAAGAGAUGGGAAUAGCAGACCACCUGACCUGCCUCUUGAGAAACCUAUAUGCAGGUCAGGAAGCAACAGUUAGAACUGGACAUGGAACAACAGACUGGUUCCAACUAGGAAAAGGAGUAUGUCAAGGCUGUAUAUUGUCACCCUGCUUAUUUAACUUCUAUGCAGAGUACAUCAUGAGACAUGCUGGGCUGGAUGAAGUACAAGCUGGAAUCAAGAUUGCCAGGAGAAAUAUCAGUAACCUCAGAUAUGCAGAUGACACCACCCUUAUGGCAGAAAGUGAAGAGGAACUAAAAAGCCUCUUGAUGAAAGGGAAAGAGGAGAGUGAAAAAGUUGGCUUAAAGCUCAACAUUCAGAAAACGAAGAUCAUGGCAUCUGGUCCUAUCACUUCAUGGGAAAUAGAUGGGGAAACAGUGUCAGACUGUAUUUUUUUGGGCACCAAAAUCACUGCAGAUGGUGACAGCAGCCAUGAAAUUAAAAGACGCUUACUCCUUGGAAGGGAAGUUACGACCAACCUAGAUAGCAUAUUCAAAAGCAGAGAUAUUACUUUGCCAACAAAGGUCUGUCUGAGCAAGGCUAUGGUUUUUCCAGUGGUCAUGUAUGGAUUUGAGAGUUGGACUGUGAAGAAGGCUGAGUGCCGAAGAAUUGAUGCUUUUGAACUGUGGUGGUGGAGAAGACUCUUGAGAGUCCCUUGGACUGCAAGGAGAUCCAACCAGUCCAUUCUGAAGGAGAUCAGCUUUGGCAUUUCUUUGGAAGGAAUGAUGCUGAAGCUGAAACUCCAGUACUUUGGCCACCUCAUGUGA